rnacentral:rRNA from 1 species
ACAGCAGCCGCCGCGGUAAUACGAAGGGUGCAAGCGUUACUCGGAAUUACUGGGCGUAAAGCGUGCGUAGGUGGUGGUUUAAGUCCGUUGUGAAAGCCCUGGGCUCAACCUGGGAAUUGCAGUGGAUACUGGGUCACUAGAGUGUGGUAGAGGAUAGUGGAAUUUCCGGUGUAGCAGUGAAAUGCGUAGAGAUCGGAAGGAACAUCUGUGGCGAAGGCGACUAUCUGGGCCAACACUGACACUGAGGCACGAAAGCGUGGGGAGCAAACAGGAUUAGAUACCCCGCUUAGUCCCUGUCUCUUAUA